GAAAAUUCUUUAUGUUUCUGAAUGGAGUUUGGCUUUCUUCACGACCUCACACACGCGAUGAAAGGGUGUCUUCCCGGAAAACGCACCCGGAAGCAGAUGAAGUGGCUCACGACAGAUGGGAUUUCACACUUUCCUUUUUAACCGCUAACUGUAGAGUCAGCAUGAUGAUGUGAAAGUCUCCUGUACAUGUAUGGCACGGAGGAAGGGCUGUCUGAUCCUCGAGUAAUGCUAAACUUUCUCUAGCUCCGCCCCUGUUGGUGUGACCCCAUGACAGAAGAGUUCGUGGACAGCCUGUUCUGAUGUUCAGCUGAAACUGGUUUCACCAUAUAUCUCAUCGCAUCAGUCUUUAACAGAGUCUGAUCUACAGCUGAGCCUCCAUCCUCCUGCUUAGCCAUGCCGUUGGUGGUGGAUGCUGUGUGGGCGCUGUGGAGCAUCGCAGCCGGCGUCUAUGACUACUUCCACACGAGUGCCAUGGAGGAGAGGAUCCACACACUGGAGAACGUCCUCUCCAUCCACCAGUUUGUGAUUGCAGGCCUGUCAGCAGGUCUCAUUCUGCUCAUGACCUACAUACUGUUGAGAAAACACUAAAACCCUCCUCACCUGAAGGACAAGCGCCCAUUAGAGGUCAUUUGCCUGAAGGAUGGCAUGUUUGGUGCCAGUCAGGAUGUCCCAGAUGAAGUCAGGAGGACUGAUGGGCUCCUAGGUCUGACCAACAAAGCUCCACCGGGACAUGCUUUCUGAAACCUGGUGCACUUUGGGUAGUGGCUGGUUUGUCUGUUUGCUGCUUUGUUUAAAUGUUAAAUUAUCCUGCUAAAAGAAACAUAACAGCUUCUCAAGGCGAAUUUGCACUCUGUUUUCCUAAACAUGAAGGACUUCAUUGUUUAGGAAAACCACCUGAGAUGGCGUCAAGAACUCAAACACCUCCUCAGAGUGUAAUGAAGGAGUUAAAAUUAAGUUAUUGUCGGUUUUGUGAUUGAUUUUCUGAAAAGGGAAGAAGCCCAGAAUGACUGUGAUCACUGCUACAUUUUUAACACUGUUGUUGAAAAAUCACACCAUAAUUAACUCGAUCAGUUCUUCUUUUGUGCUUCCAAAGGAAUCAUGUUAUUUGUUAAGACAGAUAAUCUGAGAUGCAUCCAAAUUGCCCGUUAGUCUUUACAUCUUCUAGCUCCAUCUUCAUGAAUUAUAAAUGGUGGCAAUGUCUGAAUGAGACACAUGAUAUCGUGGACUAAUUAGGGGCCCCUUCUCCUACCUGAUUUGCAUGAUUUCUCAGCCUGAUCCGAGCCAGAAUUACACAUGUGAGACCUCAGGUGCACCACUCAGUUUAGGAGAUGGUGUUAGUGGUUUGUUCAGUUUCUUGUGUCAGAAUACUUUUUUGUAGAUGAUUUGAACCCUCACACAGUUACAGGGAGUCUAUGGUCAAAAUCAGCUGCGGAAAGCACACAGGAAGAGAAGGAAACCAAGUCUUUCGCUAAAAAGUCAACAGUGAAGGGAUUACCCAUCGCUAAUAAUGUUGUGACAGUAAAGUGGACUUAUUCUGCUUAUGCAAAGUUACUCUUAUUGAAUAGCUUUGCAUGAUUCACAGCUCAACAUACGCUCUGAUCCAACCCUGAAGUUCAUCUUCUGUCUAAAAUGAGAUGUUUUAGCCCCUCCCCCUUUAAUACAAUACAACUUUAUUUAACCCAACUUUCUUUUUGGUCUCAGUCGCACAAACCGGCCACCAACCACCUGGCAACCUCCAGACGCUGGGGAAAAUGUAUAUUUCCUGAAUUCAUUGGUUGCCUCAGGUUGAUGGCUGUUGUCAGUUGAAAUCAGUUGCAAAGAAACCCUGUCGAGAUGCUUUGGUCACGAGCUGCAGACGAGGAAGACUAAAAGCACAACUUUUAGUUUGGAGGCAUCGAUCUCUGUUACUGGUUUCUGUUUCAUUAUUUCACUAACCAAAGUAAAUGUGGACGGAGGAACAGUAACGUCAGCCUGGGUUUUGACUUUCAUUGACUUUAUGCAAUGUUUAAUUUUUAAAUUGAUUCAGUGGGACAGAAAUGCCAAAAAUAUGAUGUCUGGGUCUGCUAAGCUUGAUGGGAAUGUGGUCAUACUAGAAUCUACCCCAUCUCUGAGACUGGUUCCAACAUGCACAGUCCCGUCAUGGUAUUUGCUGUAAAAGAUUAUAAUCAGAGAUUUAAAAAAUGCUCUGUGGCAACUGUGGUUUGUAAUUACCCUGAUUCCACUGACACACCUGGACUUAGAGGAUAAACUCAAAAAACGCUUCAAACGUUGGGAAAUGAAUUCAUCCUGUACGUGGUUUAUUUAUUUUUCACACCAAAGGGAAAUGAUCGGUGUAGGAUGGAGGUUAAAGUGUGUAUUUAAUGUGGAAAAGGGAGAUUGUGCGUUUAAUCUGUUUACAUUUUUCCUAAUGUGUGUGUGUGUGUGUUACGAUUUAACCGAUUAUUGGUGGCUCACUCACUGCUGUUCCUGCUCACACUCUGGGCUUCAUUGUCAGUGUACUGUAAACACUACUGUGCGUUCUACCUGGGCCGAACCUCUGCCGCGACUGCUAUUAAAAGGGAAUAUGUUUGAAUACUGAUCAGAAUUUAA